UAUUGUCUAUAAUUCUUUAUUAAUGUUUUUAUUAUUUUUUAUUAUUAUUGAUAACAUUAAAACGCCCACAAUAACUGACAUCACUUCUCUAGUUUAUGACAUUGACACAGGAACAUGGGAACAAAUGCAGAGUCACAAUUUCAGCCCAACUACAGAGUUAACUUCCAAAAGAUAACAGGAGACCCAGAGAACACAUAGCCAAGAGUUGUCUGGUAGCAAAGGAACAACCACCUCUACAAAAGUAACAAAACUCCUUACUAUCUAUCAUUGUGGAAGUGCUUGUAAUUUUGGAAGUUUGUAAUUUCCAAAAGGAUAUUAAUAAUAUGAAUGCCUAGAAAAUGGCCAAUAGAAAUCUCUCUGUAAAAAUUGGCUAGCAGGACAACCCUUGGCUGUGCAUUUUGUCACUAACUCUAUGUACUUUUUUUUGUUGAACUUUUCUUUAAUACAACAACAAUAACACUGUUCUUUAAUACAAAUAUAUACAGAGGUUUCAACUUGUUUAAAAAAUAAUGCCCUACACACUAAUGCAUUGUCUAUAAUAAAGUUGAUUUUCAUUAGAUUUUUUUCCUUCACAGAAACUGUCCAUGCAGUUUGGUACCUGAAUCGUCGUAAUUAGGUCACAGUUUCUUUACCAUUAUAACAUAUUGAUGUUUUGUGUCUCUGUAACAGCGUGAAUGUGUCACCACGGCAACAGGCCUGCCUGCCUGUCAAAGACAUAUAUUUAAUCAGCUUUUUUAGAAUAGCCACCCAAACCCUCCCUUAUCCCCUGAAAAAGCCGUCUUCACCCCUGCCAACCUCUUGAGCAGGAUUUUGUACCAGCUUCUUCAAAUGUAAACAUACCUUUGCCUGCAAUGAGUGGAGAGAGAAAGGCACACAUGAUAAAAGCACACAGCUUUAAGCUACAGUACCUACAGAGGGAGUUUGGUUUUGGUUUGAUUAGCUCAAUGACAUGUUAUACCAUUCUACUAGACAUGCCUUUCUGCCUUUCAUGUGAUCUACUUUGAUUUUUUUAAAUGUAUUUUUUCAUUUUUGAGUUUCUGAAUUGGAUGAGAAUGUUUUGAAGUAUAGACACCAAACGAUUGGGUCCCUCCCUUGUCUUUCCCUGAAGAGAACAGAAUCAGGGGACCAUUCUCAGGGGCCUCCAGAUGUGUACAGCACCUAGCUCGGAAUAGGGAACUUUGGGCUAUCUUCCCUCGUGUUCACAGGGUACUCGAAUGUGGCCUUGCCUGUCCUCCCUUUAACUGGUGAAGCAGGCCUGGAAAGAGAAGACACGGGAUCUCUGUGUAUCCUGGCCUGUCACAGACUAACAUAUUAGGUCAUUGUUUUAAUUUUUUUUUUUUUUUUUUUAAAUAUAUGUACCAUUAUUCAGGGAGAUUCACAGGUAUGUGAUCAUUGUUUAUCAGAGCAAACAGACACACUGUGUUUUUACAACCACUACAUGAGACCACAUCAUUCACAACUAUCAACUGAAAAGGAUCGUUUUCACAUGCCAUGGUACAAUCACAUGCCAUGGUACAAUCACAUACCAUGGUACAAUCACAUACCAUGGUACAAUCACAUACCAUGGUACAAUCACAUGCCAUGGUACAAUCACAUGCCAUGGUACAAUCACAUACCAUGGUACAAUCACAUGCCAUGGUACAAUCACAUACCAUGGUACAAUCACAUACCAUGGUACAAUCACAUGCCAUGGUACAAUCACAUGCCAUGGUACAAUCACAUACCAUGGUACAAUCACAUGCCAUGGUACAAUCACAUGCCAUGGUACAAUCACAUGCCAUGGUACAAUCACAUGCCAUGGUACAAUCACAUGCCAUGGUACAAUCACAUGCCAUGGUACAAUCACAUGCCAUGGUACAAUCACAUGCCAUGGUACAAUCACAUACCAUGGUACAAUCACAUGCCAUGGUACAAUCACAUACCAUGGUACAAUCACAUACCAUGGUACAAUCACAUACCAUGGUACAAUCACAUGCCAUGGUACAAUCACAUGCCAUGGUACAAUCACAUGCCAUGGUACAAUCACAUGCCAUGGUACAAUCACAUGCCAUGGUACAAUCACAUACCAUGGUACAAUCACAUACCAUGGUACAAUCACAUACCAUGGUACAAUCACAUGCCAUGGUACAAUCACAUACCAUGGUACAAUCACAUACCAUGGUACAAUCACAUGCCAUGGUACAAUCACAUGCCAUGGUACAAUCACAUACCAUGGUACAAUCACAUACCAUCCAUGUUCCUCCAUCACAUUUCAUCAGCAGUCAUGAACGUUAACAUGACCAUGCAUUUAACCGACCAGUCAAACACCCUGGUCCGUGUCAAUGGAACACAGUCCAGCUUCAGAGCUUCUAUCCCAUCCCAAUGGACCAUUUAGAAAAUACUGAACCAUCACGAAUACGGAACACAUAAACUCCUUAUAUGAAGAAUAUGUCCAUCACUCCCUAUCAAACGGACAAGCUGUUGUUGUUAACACUCUUGAUUACAUUGAGUUCUGUACCUAAUCUUUAUAACUGUGUUGGACUGUCAUUUUGCUAUUUAAUCUCAGUAUCUCAGUGCUGUUCAACUAGUUUCAAAGGGGUCAUGCCAUAUCAAAAAAGAUACGCUAAUGAUCACAACCUUCAUACUCUCGUAGUGUUGUAAGCUCAUGCAUUAAAGGGUUGGGAGAAGAAUAAGCUACUUUCUUAACUAAAUGCAUCAAGAACUCCUUCCUGAGUAAAGGUUACACAAUACAGAAGGGGAGAAGCCAUUAAAAGGUUUUGACAUUCUGAGUAAUGGACACAUAUUUAUGCAACAAACACCUCUUCCAAACCAAGAGGGAGACCUCUAAUGCAGCAAUUCAAUCUCCACUCCCACACGUUCCUCUCUUUUCACUUGGAGGGCUUGAUCCAAUCCCUGCUAUCGCCGCAGGCUUUGGCUAAUGCCCUAGUAUCAUAUUAUUAUGCAGAUUUAGUCAGUUCUUUCCAGUAACCUGCGAGCCAAACUCUGCUUCCCCUUGUAUGGUGUGAAGAGUAUUACUGGCAUGUAUAAAAACCUGAUACCAUCAAUUGAAUCAACCCUCCGGACACUGAUGCAAAGGGCAUUCUACAUAUCAGUGUUUAGAUUUACAUUAAAUAUAACAAAACAGGUCAAAUAUGCAGUUCUUUGUUUCUUCUGCUGGGGUGAAUACCGGUACUUUGCUAGUGACCAAAACCCAGUGUGUUCUAAAAAGUCCAAACUCAAAUGCUCGCAUAUUCAAUGGUUUUUAAAAAAGUGCCCAAGAGAGUUUCAUUACACUGGCUAAAAGCUAAUUACACCAUCCAUGCCCACUAGGUUACCUCAUUAUAUUAUCACAGGGUCUCCCACUAGGUUACCUCAUCAUAUUAUCACAGGGUCUCCCACUAGGUUACCUCAUCAUAUUAUCACAGGGUCUCCCACUAGGUUACCUCAUCAUAUUAUCACAGGGUCUCCCACUAGGUUACCUCAUCAUAUUAUCACAGGGUCUCCCACUAGGUUACCUCAUCAUAUUAUCACAGGGUCUCCCACUAGGUUACCUCAUCAUAUUAUCACAGGGUCUCCCACUAGGUUACCUCAUCAUAUUAUCACAGGGUCUCCCACUAGGCUACCUCAUUAUAUUAUCACAGGGUCUCCCACUAGGUUACCUCAUCAUAUUAUCACAGGGUCUCCCACUAGGUUACCUCAUCAUAUUAUCACAGGGUCUCCCACUAGGUUACCUCAUCAUAUUAUCUAUCUACUACACUUUCCCUAUUGGCUUUUUAACAUUGUGAUCCGUGUUUAAAAACUCCGCUCAGUGGGCUGACAUGAUCAUAACCUUAUCAUAACGACACAGUACUGCACAAUAUAGCCAAUGUGACUACUAUGAAGAGUCCUCUAUACAUGAACUCACUCACACGACACUUGAACAAAGAGCCAACCAUUUAGUUAAAACGACAGUCAUUUCAGAUUCAUUACAACAGACGUUAGCAUUUACAACAUGUCGACUUUGGGUCCUUGAAAAAGCACUAUAUAAGUCCCAUGUAUUGUUAUUAUUAUUAUCGUCAUCAUGUUUGGAUCAAGGAUAGAGAAGAAAAGGAAACCUAAAAAACAAUGACGGUUUUGUUGAGUAUCUUUAAAACCACAGUCAUAACCACCUCUAGUCGUCACAACUCUCAAACAACUACUGUUCCUUUGAUAAGCUAAUACAAGAGAAAAAUAGUCAACAAUUACACUGGAAAAAUAUAUGUAUGUUUCUAUUCAUAUAUAUAUAUAUAUAUAUAUAUAUAUAUAUAGCAUUUGAAAUUCUAUUUAUACAGAAUGUAUAUAUAGUGUACUUAUGGCCAUCUUGGCAAAGAAAUAAAGGCAUCUGAAACAAUCCCAACUCUCGGUCAUGUCAUGUGACGCCCUGGUCAUGUCAUGUGACCAGACAUCGUACAUUGCAGAAUGCAAAGAAUCAGGAAAGAAACUGAGUGGUAGUGGCACUUUGUGCAUCAACAAAUGUCAUCUAGAAUAAGGCUACAAGGGCGUAGAAGUGGAUGUGAUAUAAAUUGUCAAAGAGGUCAUCCUCCUUGAUGGUUUAGUUUUUUCUUGAAGAUGUCCUUUACAUGUCUUAGACCCAGACAUCCAGUCUAGACGGAACAUUCCGGAACAGAGCUCUUUGGAGCUUCUGCUCAACACAUUGAGAGAAAAUAAUGACAAGAGAAAAAUAAUUUAUCAAAAGGCAUUAAAACAUCUAUAGUACAUUAAAGAUGUUUUGGGUAAGCCAGUGUUGGCCGCUACAAAGCGCUUGGAGAGGUAACAUUUGAUCCUUAUAUCUGUCUAUUUUCUUAGUCUUAUUUUUCCUGACAAAAAGCAAAUAAAUCAUCGAUGACACAAAGCCACUCUGACACCACCAGAACAGUGAUUGCUUUCGUUAGUUAUUUUGCUUUUACAACUGCUGAUAUAUCUAGGAAAGCCUAAGUAAUCAAACAAUAUUCUAUUUAUUCUUUCUGAGCAUGGUUUUUAAAAUUGUAUUUAAAUAUUAGAAAUGGAUUUUAACACUACUGAUACUCAGCCAUCACAACACACACAUAAAUAACAAAAUAAAUAUACAAUCAUAUCAAUAUUUAAUAUGAAAUAAAUAAUAAAUACAUACUUUCUUUUUAAGCCGUGGGUAUCUGAAGACACAGAUAAAAGAAAUAGCAUAAAUGAAGGAGAAAACCUUUAUAAAAUUAUCAAAACAUUGUCAUUUAUAAAAUAUUUGCAAUUAAAAAUGUUUACAAAUUAUUUAAAAUAAAAUAAGAUAUAUAAAAUAAUCAAGUGUGGACAGUUGUCUAAAUAGCUUUUUAAAUAUUGAUGUAGAAGACUUCCUAUUUUAAAUCUUUAUGGCCAUGAUCGACCAGCAGGGUUGCAUUUUUUGAUUUACUAAAUAUACAUUUAAUUGUUUUUUUAAAUAAAUAGACCAAAUCAAAUAAAUACACAUAAAAUGACAAUACAUUACAAUUUGCGUAUUCACAAAUGUAAAUAAUUUCUAUAACAAUAAAUAUUGUACCACAAACUAACAGGAAUAGACAAGUGUGCACUCCAUUACCAUCACCGUUCAGUUCAAAGAAAGAAGGCUGCAUCUGUUGCUCUCAGAUCUUCCAGCAGAUAUAUAGAGAAGGUUGUUGAUUUUCAGAAGAGGAAAAAGAAACCAUUGAUUUGUGACUUAAUCUUCGCUUGAAGAGCUGCUUUCCUCUGAAUUGAGACAAGACAUGGAGUCAUGUUGACAUCUUGCUGCAGUAACAACACUAAGCACAUGAACCAUUGCUCAAGAAGACCCCAGAGUUCAGGGAUUCUCCAUUCACUUCUACACAAUAGGAGUGCUGUAGUGCUCAGAAUCACACACUACCCACUCAUACACAAGCCCUCUCACCUUAUCCUGACCCAGAACAACAUUGCUGAAGCCUUCGUGUCUUCUCUGGGACACAAUGUGUACAGUUUUCCAGUGUGUUUUCUUCACCUCAUGUUGGCAGGUCAUACCCUCUGUCUUAUCUGGCACCAUACCACUACUUCCAUCCUUCGUUCUUUCUUUCUUUCUUCUCCAAAUUGUUGCUGAACUAAACCUUGAAUUACAGUAUGAAUUGGGACAGUCAAACAGAUACCUCCAAAACAGAGAUACCUCCAAAACAGAGAUACCUCCAAAACAGAGAUACCUCCAAAACAGAGAUGCCUCCAAAACAGAGAUACCUCCAAAACAGAGAUGCCUCCAAAACAGAGAUACCUCCAAAACAGAGAUGCCUCC
ensembl:lncRNA